rnacentral:lncRNA from 1 species
UCACACUUGACGUGACAGAACCUCUUAGCUGCACUUCACAGCUCCUUCCCUCUCUCCCUCCCUUCCUCCCUCUUUCUCUCCAUCCCUCUCUCUCUCUCUCCUCUCAGUGCCCUGCCCCUCUCCCCCUUCCCUCCCUUCGCUGAGCUCCCAGGAAAGAGCGCAAGCAAGGAAAACGUUCCGAGCAGGAAUGUCGUCAUUCUUCACGACAGUAUUUGUUGUUUUCUGUCCAGGGCCCUGCACGUUCCUAAAGGAGCUCUGCUCCCAUCCCGCCUGUGUUCGUCUGGUCCUGGACCCCCCAGUGCUUGGCUCCCUGCUCCCCUGGUGACACAAUUCACAGGCCUGAGUGAGACAAACAGGACACAAGGCCUCGGCUAACAAAAAC